GUUGUAUGGUUAAGUGACUAAGCGUAGACGGUGGAUGCCUUGGCWGUCAGAGGCGAUGAAGGACGUAUUAACUUGCGAAAAGCCCAGAUAAGGCAGUAAAAGCCAUUUGAAUCUGGGAUAUCCGAAUGGGGAAACCCACCUGCAUAAGCAGGUAUCUUAGCGUGAAUACAUAGCGCUAAGA
rnacentral:rRNA from 1 species